rnacentral:pre_miRNA from 1 species
AGAUGGUUGACCAUAGAACAUGCGCUAUCUCUGUGUCGUAUGUAAUAUGGUCCACAUCUU